CUUUCUUUUUCUUUUUUUUUUUUUGGUCUCUUUCUGCAGUUAGGAAUGGAUCGUAAUCUAGGCUCCAUAUUUUACAUCUGCUUUAGCAAGCAAGAGAUGCGAGAUUAUUUGUCAACUUCGCGAUACUCUGCAUCAUUUUCGUCCUUUCAGAGUUUGAUAUCUCUCAUCCAUCUUCAACAAGAACAAGCACAGCAAUGAUUGUGAUCUACAACAAGCAAUUUGAAAGAGAAAGGAUUGAUGAAUGCAAGAUGAUGAUAGCAUUCCGAACAUCGUUAUUUCACCUGCUUGGCCAGAAGAAGGUAGCAUCGCGGACCAAAUCUUAUGAGAUCAGUGUAUCAUAUUUGGGAGCAUAGACAUUGGAAAGAUGUGUCUGUGAGCAAGUACAUUAUCGAAUUCUGCUUUUCCUUGUUUUGAGGACCAUAGUUUUUGGGAUUUGACUGAGGAAAUCAUGUUCGACAUAUAAUUACCAUAUUUGGAUGGACAGGGAUUGGAAAGAAAUAAUAUUUUUUUAGAGUGCAUUUGCAUGGAUGCAUGGGCAGAUGGAUUCAUGAAUGUAUAAAUCAAAUUUUAUACUUUGAUGUGAGAGCAUGUGACACCAAAA